rnacentral:rRNA from 1 species
GAUCCGGCUCAGGAUGAACGCUGGCGGCGUGCCUAACACAUGCAAGUCGAACGGACUUACAUUGAAGCCUAGCGAUAUGUAAGUUAGUGGCGGACGGGUGAGUAACGCGUGGGUAACCUGCCUUGUACUGAGGGACAACAGUUGGAAACGACUGCUAAUACCGCAUAAGCGCACAGCUUCGCAUGAAGCAGUGUGAAAAACUCCGGUGGUACAAGAUGGACCCGCGUCUGAUUAG